rnacentral:piRNA from 1 species
UUCAGAGAAGUAGAUGCUACUUAUCAAGAG